UCCUGCGUAGUACAGGUAAUCACAUUCACGUGCAAAAGAGUGUAAUCACUGUUUUAAACAUGUGUAUUUUACAGUUUGUAACUAGCUGAAGUAUUUACAGCCUUCUAUCUAUCUAUGGUGGCUGCAGAGGAGCAAAUGGGACGGCAACACUGCAGGCAAGGGUCCUGCUGGAGUCUUCGUAUGCAGGAAAUACAUCUCCUAGAGGCUGCUUGUUGCUUGGUUCAGAUGGGAGGCAGUCCAAACCGCUUCAAGGAUGAGUUAGAUGAGACUACCCGUGUGUGGGAUUCCCAUGUCAUCAGGCCAUCAAAGAAUGACAGAGUGCCCAGUGGUCGACCCAGAAUCAUGUACCUGUUCCCUGAACUCCACAGAGCCGAUGAUUGCAUUUCCCCAGUGGAAAGAGCCGAUUUACAGCUUUGUCAGAGUAGCUGUACAUUUCGACCAACAGUACCAUGUGACACAGACAUCUACAACAUCUGCAACUUCCUGAUGGUUGAAUCCCAAUUGCAUCUUCCGGCUGAUGCUUAUCAAGCAUUGGAUUUGUAUCUGCACUUAAGAAAUGAAAUCAGAUCCACUCUCUAAUUCCAUCUACAUGAAACACAUCAACAUUCCCCCGUCAGUAUGUAAUUGAUAAAUUAUAGCCUACUGGCACUGUUAAUUUGUCUGUUAUGUUAUGUGUUUUAUGAAUCUUGGUAAUGUAGGAUGUUGUGCUUUGCCCUCACAUCAGUCAUUAACAGGGAAAUAUGGACACAAGCGCAGCAAAGAAAUGAGGCAUGAUACGAAUGAGGAAAUUGUAAUCUUCAUUUUACAGUAUUUUGGAUAUUUUGAGUAUGUUUACCAUGUGAGGCUUCAACAAAAACAGCCAUUGGUAUUUGCCAUUCAAAUGUGAAACAAGUCAACGUGUGAAAUGCAACAUUUAUCUUAAUAAAA